GGACGGCGUAAGCUGUCGCUAAGGGAUGGACCUGCGAUGCAUUAGCUAGUUGGUAAGGUAACGGCUUACCAAGGCGAUGAUGCAUAGCCCGAGUUGAGAGACUGAUCGGCCACAUUGGGACUGAGACACGGCCCAAACUCCUACGGGAGGCAGCAGUGGGGAAUCUUCCACAAUGGACGAAAGUCUGAUGGAGCAACGCCGCGUGAGUGAAGAAGGUUUUCGGAUCGUAAAGCUCUGUUGUUGGUGAAGAAGGAUAGAGGUAGUAACUGGCCUUUAUUUGACGGUAAUCAAUUAGAAAGUCACGGCUAACUACGUGCCAGCAGCCGCGGUAAU
rnacentral:rRNA from 1 species